CAGCAAUUGGGGACACAUUUGGAGAAGAUGGAUACUUGAGCUUAUGAGGUUUUUGAGGUUUUAUGAGGUGGACAGAAUAAAAGAGAAAGGAAAUUUAGGUUGUUGAAAUACGUUAUAGAAUCCAAGUUGAAUAAAGACAAAAAAGAAGAUAGGUUGAGAGUGAUGGACAGGGGCAGUGGUUCUCAAACUUUGGUGUUCAUCAGAAUCACCCAGAAGAUUUGUUAAGACAGAUUGCUUUUAUUUGUAAAUUGGCAGGAAAGUUCUUUCUGAUGCCUUUCUCUUUUGGUUGUUGUAGGUGUUAAGGAGCCAGUAUGUGAAUGUUCUCUGUCAUUUGAAGAGAGCUAUUAACACGUUUUUUACUCUAACUGUUCAGAUUUAAAGGUGGUUACCUGGUGUGAGAUUAUUUUAGUUUCCUUCAUACUUGUUGCUUGUGAGACCUUUUAUCAUGUAUGUACUUGGAGUAUUCUAUCCUCCAAGUGCUGCUGUUUUUAAAGGCAAAAGGCCCAUUAUUUGUCUCUUGUUGACUGAGCAUUUUCUGUGACUCCCCUUCACCCCCUGGAAAAGCCACUGGAAAUGUCUUGGGUGGACCCAUGAAUUGGGUGGAGCAGGUUUUCAGAGCAUUACCAGGGUGGGGUGAAUAGUGUUAGCCAGGUUAAUGGAGACUCGAAUAUGGCACUUGCCUGCUGGCUCACUGUGGAGAAGGCCUAGAAAAGGAACAAUGGUCUUUGCAGCACUUCUCUGUGGGAGAAAGCUGCCCCUCAAACCUUGCUCUUAUGCUAGACCAUUAAAUUCCUCCCUGUAUGUCUCUGGUGCCUUUCAAGCUGCUGCCUUAGUGCUGUAGCUCAGAGUGAGUGAUUCUGAGAAGUCUGUGCAUGUACACUUUAAGAGGAAUGACUGGGGCUCCAGAAGCCCCUGUCUCACUCAGCCACCUUCUUUGUUGGUUUUCACAGCCAGAAAUUAUGGUACUUCUCUUGCUGACACUGGAACCAUGGACUGGGGUCCCUAGCUCCUCAGGGGGCACCUUUGUAUCUGAGAUAUCUCUCCCAUUGCAUGUGGAUGUGGGACCAGCCCAUGUGAAUUUCCACCCUUUCUACUAGGCUUGACUUGGCUUCUUCUUAAUAUCCUUAGUUGUAGGACUUCUGUUCAGCUAGAUUUAAGACAGUUCUGAAUGAUGGUGUUCUGUCGUUCAGUUGUAAUUUUAAUGUGGGUGUGGGAGGAUAGGAGUACUACAUUUACCUAUUCGGCCAUCUUGACUGGAAGCCCUCAUUAUUUUUUAACUACAAAAUUAUUUGAAUUCUUUUGAGACUGCUUUUUCACACACAAAGUCUUUAAUUUAAUUAUAGCAUCCAGUAAUUUAUUGUAAAGAUGAUAAUAUGGAGCACUAAUUAUAUGCCAGACAUUGUGCCAGUCUUAUAAGACAAUAUAAGGGGUGCCUACCUAGUAAGUUGCUUUAAUAUGGUAUUUUACAUAUCCUCUCAUCAGUCUUAUGAGGGUACAUACUAUAUUCUUCCAUUUUAUAAAUAAAUCAAAUUUGGCUUAGGAAAGGCAAGUAAUAUGCCCAAGUCAUGUAGUAAGUAAGUGAUAGUUGGAGUUCAAAUCCAAGUUUGUCCAAUUUUAUAUCCCUGUUUAUAAUCACUAUAUUGAAAUUUCAGCAGUAAACAUAAGCAGUGUCUAUUUUAUUCAUCAUAUCAGCUUGUUUAUUAAUUUUGCAGUCACAUGCAGACCUAAGCCCUAGAAGCUUGUGUCCUUUGAGUUCUGACUGUAUAUGAUAGGAUAUUAGGGUCUUAGGAAUUUGCAGAGGAGACAUAGUGAAACUUGGAAGGACUUGUAGUUUAGAAAUGCUUAUGAUCUUCUAUUUAUCAUUCAUUAUCAAACAUUUACUAAACACUUAGGGCUUGCCAGCCAUUAUGCUAGGUGUAAUAUAAGUAAGCUAGUCUGAAUUCUUUUGGUUUAGUAUAACUUUUAGAAAUUUUACAUUGAGGUUCAAAAGUGAAGCAGAGAGGAAUUGUGGAAAGAAUAUUAGAUUGAAGGUUGAGGGACCCUAGGUUCUAGUCUGGUAUAAGAGGGCUGUAGAUGGCUUGGGGGUGUAUAGGAAAUGGUAUACGACUUCCUGUGAAAUAGCUAAUUCAUGUUGAAUGAAAAACCAUGGUUUGAAUCAUUUUGUUUUACAGUCCUGUGUUGUUUUCUUUUAUGACAUUCUUCUCUUUUGUCACUUGUAUAUCCAUUGGGCAAUGCAUGUUUGUGCCACACCUCUGUCUGGGUGGUUGAUAGAUUUGGAAACCAGCUUACUUUCGGAGUAGAAACCAGGAAGGGAUAGGAUCAGUACCCUGGAAAAUUCCAAGCAGGCACUAAACCUGCACAACAUAAACCAAUUUUAGCAGUUCUUCUUAGGCUGUUAAUGAUUAUAAUUCUUUUCAAGAAUAUUUGAUCAGCAGAUCCUAAAUUACUCCCUUCAUUAAGUGUAGAUUCCUUGACAGUGAUGACUCCAGUUUGGAAUUGUUCUGUAGAUUUGUAGACCUUGUGAUCAUCUCAUCUAACUUCUUCACUUUAAAUAUAGAGAAAACAGAUUCAGAAGGAAGAAUAGUGAAAGGGCAAGUGCCUUGUGAAAAGGAGUACAGCAAGUCAUCAGAAAAGUCUGGACAAGGAUUCUGCUUUUGACUGUUUAAGUGUCUACUCCAUAAAAGCAGCUCUGAUUCUGAGGAUAAAAGAAGUAAUAAAGCCUAUAUGGUAUUUUUAGCAGAAAAAUUAUAGCCUUCUGGAUUAACAGGACUUUAAGAUGACCUCACAGGAGUGUGGCAAGGGGAUCUAUAGUGUCAGUUUCUUUAGGUUCUCUUGGUGUCUUUCAGUGAAGAGUAUUCUUUAUUAUAGGAACACAAAUAGAGGGUAUUGUGCUAAGAGGAGUUGCUACAUUGUUUUGCACCUAUGGCAAGGUGACAGGGACUGAUAAUUUCUUUUCUAGAGCUACUGCUGGUCUUCUAGUUUUGGGUGGUGGUGGUCUGUUCUUUAAACUGCUGCCCCAGUAAGUUUUCUUAGUACAAAUGAAUCCCCAAAUGUCAAAACUGCAAGGUCUAGAAAUCCUAUGGUCAAUAUCCUUCGUUUUAUGAGCACUGUUAGUUCCAAGCUACUCCUGCUUUAAGUACAUCUUGAGGUUCUGCACCACCCACUUGGAAAUGGCUUACCAAAGAUCUCUGGACCAGAGGGUAUAUUCCUUAAAUGGGUCAUUUGCAAAGAAUGUCCUUUGAAGCACAUUAUACAACAGAAUCUGGUUUAUGGCUUGUGUGUGCCUGAGGAAUUAGGCUCUCAUGUCUUCAGGAAAAAAUUCAGAGGCCAGAUAUCCUAUUAUAUCCACCAUAUAUUUCCCAUGUGGGGUACUGCUUCUGAGUUGGCUCCCUGGUAGUUUCCUCUUUCAUUCUGUUUAUGUUGUGCUUUUGAAUGAUGAUAAUUCUUUGUCUUUGACAAUGGUUUGGUUUUAAAAUAUGUUGACAUAUCCUUAUUUAAUCAUCGCACCAAUCAUGAGAUGGAUAUUGUCCUCAUUUUAGUAUUUAGAUUCAGCAAACAUUUGUCGGAUGCUAGAUACAUGCUUGUCCUUAUGCUAGACUCUCUCAUAUAUGUGCUUUUAAAAGCCUCACCGUAUCUUUGUAAGGUAUUAUCCACAUUUUAUGGAAGAAAAACUAGAAGCAUAAAGAGGUUAAGUAACUUCUGUUGUUGUGCUUAGGGCUUAGAAGUAAAAGACAUGUUUGCUGUUCUUCAGAAUUCAUGCAGU